UGCGUAUUUAAAGGAAUUACACUUUAAAAGGUCAACAAAAGCAUAUAACAAAUAUUGAUCUAAAUUUUACGCUUGUCAUCGAAGUUUGAUAAACUCAGUUAAUUAAAGUUGCAUUUAACACAGAAGGAGCUCUGUUUAUGAGCUUUAGACUUUCUGUUAAAAAAAGUUGAAUUUAGAACAGAAGGAGUUCAUUAACUCUAAUCUCUUUCUGUGAACAAAAAAAUUAUGAAGCCUGUAUUUUUUGUUCUGGUAUUUUGGCAUGUCUACGGAGAGUGCAAAAGCGUUAUAAAAAACCAAGAAUACAUAAAGGACAUUGACGGGUUAGAAGAAACGAUAAAAAAUCCACCACUUUUUGUAAGUGAUUUUAGGCCACCAAAACUUGGUCGCGAGUUAGAGAAAUCAAUUGAAAAUUUAGAAAAAGAAUUGAAUGAUUAUGAAAAAACUCAAGCUUUUAAAAUGCAGUCACUGAAAAGGGAAGUAUCUUCUCUAAAAAGAAUGGUAGCAACGGACCAAAAAAAAGAGGAAAAUGAACAAUCUUUGUGUGAUCCAUCUAUAGACAAUGAACCGGGCAGAGCUUGUAAAGAACUUUUUAAUGAACUCGAAAAUUUAAUUCAAAAGCUGUUGAACAAAACUUCUUAAUUACA
rnacentral:lncRNA from 1 species